rnacentral:lncRNA from 1 species
CAACCCACUCAAGUGACGCACCCCUCCUAGGGACUGCAUGGAAGAACAUCAGUAUGCCAGUGAGUCAGCCCCAGUAAUAGGGUUAGAGGCAGAUAAUCCCAGUGGAGAGAGGGGAACCGGCCUGGCAGAGACAGCAAGGGCGGUUCGUUGCUCCAGUGCCUUUCCGUUCACCUUCACACUACUGGACCAGGCUACACUCAAUCAUAGGACCUACUGAAGAGAUGAGUCUUCAAUAAAGACUUAAAGGUUGAGACUGAGUCUGCGUCUCUCACAUGGGUCCUGGCAGAGUUGUGCAGACUCAGGACAACGGAGCUUUGGAGGAAUACGCAGAUUUAAAGAGCCAGACACGUUGCUGCUCGAGCAUCCAGAACAAAUUCCAGCCCUUACCUUACGUUGCUUUAAUUCAGUACACCCACCUCUGUCAAUGCAAUUUUCUUCAUGCCAUUUUAAUCCAAAUCUGCGCAGAGUUAUUUUCAGUGGCUCCCAGAAAUCUGAACCCAGUAAGCAAAAUGAUGUUUAAAAUAUGUAUUUUCUGAACGUUGAAAAUAUAUAUUUUACGGAUGUUUGAAAUCAGGUUAAUUUUCGGUUCUGAAUUAAUGCUGAAAAUACUUUCUCUACUUUUUUUUUACUGUAAAGUACUGCACUCUGCUGUGCUCUACUGCAGUGGUUCUCAAACCUCUACUCAGG